rnacentral:rRNA from 1 species
CCGAGAUGAGUUCUCCCUGACUCCUUGAGAGUCCUGAAGGAACGUUGAAGACGACGACGUUGAUAGGCCGGAUGUGUAAGCGCAGCGAUGCGUUGAGCUAACCGGUACUAAUGAACCGUGAGGCUUAACCUUACAACGCCGAAGGUGUUU